rnacentral:rRNA from 1 species
GUUUGAUCCUGGCUCAGAACGAACGCUGGCGGCGUGGAUAAGACAUGCAAGUCGAACGGAAAUUGAGCAUAGCUUGCUAAGCUCAAUUUUAGUGGCGGACGGGUUAGUAACACGUGAGAUACAUACCCUCUAGACAGGAAUAGCCCAUGGAAACGUGGAUUAAUGCCUGAUAGUCUCUAAGGAGUAAAUGGUGCCUUCGGGUGCCGCUAGAGGAUUGGCUCGCGGCCUAUCAGUUAGUUGGUGAGGUAAAGGCUCACCAAGACUACGACGGGUAGCUGGUCUGAGAGGACGAUCAGCAACACUGGAACUGAGACACGGUCCAGACACCUACGGGUGGCAGCAGUCGAGANUCAUUCACAAUGGAGGCAACUCUGAUGGUGCAACGCCGCGUGGAGGAUGACGGUCCUAGGAUUGUAAACUCCUGUCAUUGGGGAGUAAGACUUAUUAGUUAAUAGCUGGUAAGUUUGAUAGUACCCAAAGAGGAAGGGACGGCUAACUUCGUGCCAGCAGCCGCGGUAAUAAGGGCGAAU